GCCAGAAACAUAAUUGUUAUUUAUUGGCUAAUUGAUAGGGAACACGGUUUAAUGCCGUGACUGUACCCGCAACUGUAUGUAGCUUUACUUUAAAAGUUAAAAGUUAUAAGUCAGGACACCUAGUAUCAAAAUUUUUUACAA
rnacentral:ncRNA from 2 species